rnacentral:lncRNA from 1 species
AAUUUUAUAUAAGGUAUAACUAAGAAAAAUUACUUAGAAAACAAAUUAUCAAAUAUUUAAGAACAAAACAAAAAUAAAAAUAGAAAAAGAAAGACAAAAUUUCUGGCCAAUCAGAUUCAAAUACAUAGAUCACACUUUUAACCAUUGGAUUAACUUAGAUCUAAAGGUAGAGAUUUAUUCAAUUUAAUUUUUAUUUUUUUCUUCUCUCUCUCGCGACAGAUCUCAUCUCAUCUCCUUCUCUGCUUUUUUUUUUCCCCGAUUCUCUCUUCACUCUAACCUCUCAUUCUCAUAUCUCAUAUCUCUCUUCUCUCUCAUCUCUCUCAACGUGUCUCUCAUCUCGCCCAUCUCUCUCAACGCCUCUCUCAUCUUACCACCACCGUGUCUCCUCCUCGUCUCACCACCACCGUUUUCCCCCUUGUCUCACCACCACCACGGUCGACGU